rnacentral:rRNA from 1 species
AUUGAACGCUGGCGGCAGGCCUAACACAUGCAAGUCGAACGAGUGGCGGACGGGUGAGUAAUGCCUGGGCACCUGCCUGAUGGCGGGGGAUAACUACUGGAAACGGUCGCUAAUACCGCAUACCAUCAGAUGUGCCCACAUGGGAUUAGCUAGUUGGUGGGGUAACGGCUCACCAAGGCGACGAUCCCUAGCUGGUCUGAGAGGAUGACCAGCCACCCUGGAACUGAGACACGGUCCAGACUCCUACGGGAGGCAGCAGGGGGGAAUAUUGCGCAAUGGGCGCAAGCCUGAUGCAGCCAUGCCGCGUGUAUGAAGAAGGCCUUCGGGUUGUAAAGGACUGUCAGCGGGGAGGCGUUACCCGCAGAAGAAGCACCGGCUAACUCCGUGCCAGCAGCCGCGGUAAUAC